rnacentral:rRNA from 1 species
CUCCUACGGGAGGCAGCAGUGGGGAAUAUUGCACAAUGGGCGCAAGCCUGAUGCAGCCAUGCCGCGUGUAUGAAGAAGGCCUUCGGGUUGUAAAGUACUUUCAGCGGGGAGGAAGGCGACAAGGUUAAUAACCUUGUCGAUUGACGUUACCCGCAGAAGAAGCACCGGCUAACUCCGUGCCAGCAGCCGCGGUAAUA